UACGUAGGGUGCGAGCGUUGUCCGGAAUUACUGGGCGUAAAGAGCUCGUAGGUGGUUUGUCGCGUCGUUCGUGAAAACCGGAGGCUUAGCUUUCGGCGUGCGGGCGAUACGGGCAGACUGGAGUACUGCAGGGGAGACUGGAAUUCCUGGUGUAGCGGUGAAAUGCGCAGAUAUCAGGAGGAACACCGGUGGCGAAGGCGGGUCUCUGGGCCGAAACUGACGCUGAGGAGCGAAAGCGUGGGGAGCGAACAGG
rnacentral:rRNA from 1 species